GGUACCUUGGAGCACAGCCAGGGCCUAGAGAGGAGCAAACUGGGCCCACAGUGGGAGCUGCCAGAGGAGAAUAUCUCACCCUCAGCCUCUCUCACAGAUGACCCAUGGCCUUCCAGCUGGUUGGCUGGUGAGAACCUGAAAAUGCCACUUCUACCCUUUUGGCUCAGGGCUUAGGUGUGAAACUGCUGAACUCCUGCUCGCUACGAGAACUUUCCUGCAUUUCUGGCAGGGGCCAUGGAGGGGACACUGGCUCCCUCAGCCCAGUGUCCCCAGCACAUGCCAUUCACAGCCCUGUGGCUGAUCACUGCCACCCAAAGAUUUUGGUCCAGAUCGGCACAUCAUGGGCACCUACCUGCUGGAAGAGAGUGAAGGGGGAAUGCAGGGUGACCCAGGGCUGUCCCUACCCCCACAGCAGCAAAGCAAGGCCUUCCCCAGAGCCCCUGUUGCCUCUGAGCCUCCAGGACAUUUGGCCUCCCUGCCAACACCCCUUGCAGUACCUUUGUCCUACUGGAAGGUUAAAGAUGGAGAAGGAAAUACUUGCUCCCAAGAAGCAGAAACUGAACUCUUCCUAAAGUUUGUAAUGUUUCUGAUCUUACUACUACAACAGGAAAGUUCAAAAGCUAAUUAGGCAAGAUCCAGGUGACACAGGCAGGGUGCCACUGGAAGCUGAAGCCAGCAUUUCAAAGAUAUAGAAAGGGAAGACUCUCCAAAGUAGAUAAGUCCCUGUGGAAAAAGCAAGCUUGCAGCUAAAUGUAAUGAGUCUUGUUUCCCACCAUGUAAGACCUUAAAGCUUAUGCUACCUAGCAGCCUACAUCUGGAAUAUAAGGUAUCAAUGUCAGCUAACACGGCAGAGUGGAGAAGCAAAUUCCGUGAUGUCAAAGAUACAGCGCAUUUUAUAACUGAAGUAAAUAAAAUU